CCGGCGCACGGGUGAGUAACACGUAUGCAACCUGGCCGUGACAGAUGGAUAACCGGAAGAAAUUCCGACUAAUACAGCAUAACACUCCUGAGGGACAUCCCUUGGGAGUCAAAGGAGGCAACUCCGGUGACGGAUGGGCAUGCGGCGCAUUAGGUAGUUGGUAGGGUAACGGCCUACCAAGCCGACGAUGCGUAGGGGUUCUGAGAGGAAGGUCCCCCACAUUGGAACUGAGACACGGUCCAAACUCCUACGGAAGGCAGCAG
rnacentral:rRNA from 1 species